rnacentral:tRNA from 1 species
GAGGGUAUAGCUCAAUGGUAGAGCGCAUGCCUAGCAUGCAUGAGGUUCUGAGUUCAAUUCCCAGUACCUCCA